UAAUUUUAAAAGAAAAAUAUUUCUCUUCUGCUCUAGAAAACCAGAGGAAAAUUCCAAGAAAAACCUCUAACUCAGGAGCAUCUGCAAGAUCUACACUACUCUCCUUCCACCUUUUCCUUUGAUAAUGUUCACCAAUAACCCUGGUUAUCUUCAGCAUUGAUCAUGAUAACUUUGGCCCAUGACCAUUGUUGCAUUGCCCAUUAACACUGGUAAUCUUCACAAUGAAUCAUGGUAACCUGUGCCAGGGCUUUGUCCACAACACUGACAGACUAACAUCUUGGGAUAGAUGACCAAAUGUUUGGUCAAAGAAGGAGGUUACUUUUUUAUUCAUUCAGAGUCACUGCCAAGACCAGCAUUUAUCGCCCAUCUCAGUAAGGAUCGAUUAAAUUGCUGUGGAUCUGGAGUCACAUGUAAGCCAGAACACGUAAGGGUGGCAAAUUCCCUUCCUGCAAGGACUUUAGUGAAAAUGAUGGGUUUUUAAGAUAAUUGACAGCAAGUAACUAGAUGGUCAGCAUUAGGAUAGUUCUUUCUCUCAGAUUUAGUUUUAAUUUAAUUCAAACUUCACCAUAUGCUGUAGUGGAAUUUGAACCUAUGUCAAGGGAAAACAGGUGGAUUUUCUCUUGUUGGAGAUGGCAUUUGUGUGGUGCAAAUGUUACUUUGCCAGUUGUCAGCUCAAACUUCAAUAUUGUCCACAUCUUGCAGCAUUUGGACAUUUACUGCUUCAGCAUCGAAGGAGUCGCGAAUGGUAUUAAACAUUACAUAGUCAUUGAUGAACAUCCCCACUUCUGACCAUCAGACAGUUGGAAGGUCAUUGAUGAAGAGCUGAAGAUAUUUUGGCCAAAAAACACGACCCUGAGAAACUCUGGCAGUGAUGUCCUGGAGCUGACAUGCCUAACCUCCAACAACCACAACUAUCUUCCAAUGUGCCAGGUUGGAUAAUUCCUGUAUGGAUUAUGCUCACCCUUGACAGAGACUGUGGAUUGUCGCAGCUGGAAGGGUGUCAAGGAAUUUCAGAGAAUUAUUUCAAAGGAGAAGGUACAAUGCAAAUGUACGGAACCUCCAAAAGUAGGUGGAGAUGGUCAGGGAGGCAGCUGAAACAGUCAGAUGGACUCUCUCUGAAAACAGAGUGUCUUUGGAGAAAAGGAGGCCCCAUGGGAGGAAGGAGAGACGGAAUCCCUCAACCCAGUGUCAGUGACAGGCUUCGUGCCAUUUUUUCUUCGCCCCCUCCAAAUUUUAACUUCGUAAAGUACCCUACCUGGAGGGAACGGAGAAUGGAGUCCAACACUAGCCUAGUGUGGGAGCCGAGUCGCGACCUGAGCGUCUGAGUUCCGGAAACGAGUUGUGGCCGGUGUGGCAGCAGAACAAGCGCAGGCCGAGUUCCGGAAACGGGCUGUGGCGGGAGUGGGAGCCGAGCGAGCGUGGGGUGAGCUGGGAGCUAGGAGCCGAGUUGCAGCCAUAUCCCGGAGUGGGAGCAGAGCAAGCCCAGGCCGGUUCGGUGAAUGAGUCAUGGAGGCAAGUCUGGGACAGAGGCUGGUUCAUGGAGGCAGUGAGGCCUCGCGUUCUGAAACCCAGCACGCACAGACUCAAUGAGAAAGGACUAUAAGUUGAGUACUUUGAAGACACUUUUUAUUCUCUUUCUGGACUUUUAAACUCUAUUCCCAUGUUAGUCUUUUGUUUUAGUAUUUCAAUUCUGUAACAACACUUAACGUACCUGUACCGAGGUACACUGUACCUAAGAUGGUGCCGAGAGGCGACAUUACAAACUUCUCACUGCACUCAUUCACAUGCAGAUGAUAAUAAAGGCUAUUCUAUUCUGUUCUACUUA